rnacentral:rRNA from 1 species
UACGAAGGGGGCUAGCGUUGCUCGGAAUCACUGGGCGUAAAGCGCACGUAGGCGGCUUCUUAAGUCAGGGGUGAAAUCCUGGAGCUCAACUCCAGAACUGCCUUUGAUACUGGGAAGCUUGAGUCCGGGAGAGGUGAGUGGAACUGCGAGUGUAGAGGUGAAAUUCGUAGAUAUUCGCAAGAACACCAGUGGCGAAGGCGGCUCACUGGCCCGGUACUGACGCUGAGGUGCGAAAGCGUGGGGAGCAAACAGGAUUAGAAACCCUCGUAGUCC